UCGGGGUCGAUUUAGCCAUGCUAGUUGCGCGAGUUCAGACUCGCAGCAGAUAGCUCAGUAACACGUGGYCAAGCUACCCUGCAGACACGGACAACCUCGGGAAACUGAGGCUAAUCCGCGAUACCGAUCCCACGCUGGAAUGCCGGGAUCCACAAACGCUCCGGCGCUGCAGGAUGCGGCUGCGGCCGAUUAGGUAGACGGUGGGGUAACGGCCCACCGUGCCGAUAAUCGGUACGGGUUGUGAGAGCAAGAGCCCGGAGACGGAAUCUGAGACAAGAUUCCGGGCCCUACGGGGCGCAGCAGGCGCGAAACCUUUACACUGCACGCAAGUGCGAUAAGGGGACUCCGAGUGCGAGGGCAUAUAGUCCUCGCUUUUGAGAACCGUAAGGUGGUUCUCGAAUAAGAGCUGGGCAAGACCGGUGCCAGCCGCCGCGGUAAUACCGGCAGCUCAAGUGAUGGCCAAUCUUAUUGGGCCUAAAGCGUCCGUAGCUGGCCGUGAAAGUUCGUCGGGAAAUCCAUCCGCUCAACGGAUGGGCGUCCGGCGAAAACUUCACGGCUUGGGACCGGAAGGCUCGAGGGGUACGUCCGGGGUAGGAGUGAAAUCCUGUAAUCCUGGACGGACCGCCGAUGGCGAAAGCACCUCGAGAAGACGGAUCCAACAGUGAGGGACGAAAGCUAGGGUCUCGAACCGGAUUAGAUACCCGGGUAGUCCUAGCCGUAAACGAUGUUCACUAGGUGUGGCACAGGCUACGAGCCUGUGCUGUGCCGUAGGGAAGCCGAGAAGUGAACCGCCUGGGAAGUACGUCCGCAAGGAUGAAACUUAAAGGAAUUGGCGGGGGAGCACUACAACCGGAGGAGCCUGCGGUUUAAUUGGACUCAACGCCGGACAUCUCACCAGCUCCGACUACAGUAAUGACGGUCAGGUUGAUGACCUUACCACGAGCUGUAGAGAGGAGGUGCAUGGCCGCCGUCAGCUCGUACCGUGAGGCGUCCUGUUAAGUCAGGCAACGA
rnacentral:rRNA from 1 species